rnacentral:rRNA from 1 species
CCUACGGGAGGCAGCAGUAAGGAAUAUUGGACAAUGGUGGCAACACUGAUCCAGCCAUGCCGCGUGCAGGAUGACGGUUCUAUGAAUUGUAAACUGCUUUUAUACGGGAAAAACCCUCAGAACGUGAUUCUGAGCUGAUUGUACUGUAAGAAUAAGGAUCGGCUAACUUCGUGCCAGCAGCCGCGGUAAGACGAAGGAUCCAAGCGUUAUCCGGAUUUAUUGGGUUUAAAGGGUGCGUAGGCGGACUCAUAAGUCAGUGGUGAAAUCCCAAAGCUUAACUUUGGAACUGCCAUUGAUACUGUAAGUCUUGAGUAUGUUUGAAGUGGGCGGAAUGUAUUGUGUAGCGGUGAAAUGCUUAGAUAUAAUGCAGAACACCAAUUGCGAAGGCAGCUCACUAAACCAUAACUGACGCUGAGGCACGAAAGCAUGGGGAGCAAACAGGAUUAGAUACCCUGGUAGUCCAUGCCCUAAACGAUGAAUACUCGAUAUGUGCGAUAUACAGUACGUGUCUAAGCGAAAGCAUUAAGUAUUCCACCUGGGGAGUACGCUCGCAAGAGAGAACGUACGAAGAAGUUAGACGGACGNGGAGGACGNGCCGACGGACGACGACGAGGGGAGGAGG